rnacentral:piRNA from 1 species
UUGCACAUUAUGAAAAGUUAG